rnacentral:rRNA from 1 species
UACAGAGGGUGCGAGCGUUAAUCGGAGUGACUGGGCGUAAAGGGCAUGUAGGCGGUUAUAUUAGUCAGAUGUAAAAUACCCGAGCUUAACUUGGGAUAUGCAUAUGAAACGGUAUAGCUAGAGUAUGGGAGAGGGAAGUGGAAUUUCCGGUGUAGCGGUGAAAUGCGUAGAGAUCGGAAAGAACACUCGUGGCGAAGGCGGCUUUCUGGCCCAUAACUGACGCUGAGGUGCGAAAGCAUGGGGAGCAAAC